UGCCAGCAGCCGCGGUAAUACGGAGGGUGCGAGCGUUAAUCGGAAUUACUGGGCGUAAAGCGCGCGUAGGCGGCUUGCUAAGUCAGCUGUGAAAGCCCCGGGCUUAACCUGGGAACUGCAGUUGAUACUGGCAGGCUGGAGUACGAGAGAGGGAGGUAGAAUUCCAUGUGUAGCGGUGAAAUGCGUAGAUAUAUGGAGGAAUACCAGUGGCGAAGGCGGCCUCCUGGCUCGAUACUGACGCUGAGGUGCGAAAGCGUGGGUAGCAAACAGGAUUAGAUA
rnacentral:rRNA from 1 species